rnacentral:tRNA from 1 species
GUACUAUUAGCUUAGUCGGUUAGAGCAGACGGCUCAUAACCGUCCGGUCGUAGGUUCGAGUCCUACAGGGUACA